AUUAGUGUUUUUAUCUUUAUUUAGCUUUACUAUGAUAACACAAAAAAAACUCCAAAGUUCAUGUUAUCUAGCAAAAUCUAAAUAAAGAGGGGCAGCUGUCAACACUCAAUUCCGUCCGGGAAAGUAAAUAAUUAAAAUUAAAGAAUGAGAGAAUAAUAAUUAAUGUUGGGCAAAGAAAAAAAGGAAAAGGAAAAUAAUAAAAUAAUCUUCCUUAAUGCAGGACACAUCACUUUAGAAUGUUUUUGAAACAUUAGCUUAAUAUGGUAAUAAUUUGAAUCAAUAUUAUGCCAAUAACUAUAAGCAAUAAUUAAA
rnacentral:lncRNA from 1 species